GUGAAAUGUUUAGGACCACUUA
rnacentral:miRNA from 1 species